rnacentral:rRNA from 1 species
GACGAACGCUGGCGGCGUGCUUAACACAUGCCAGUCGAACGGAAAGGCCCUGCUUUUGUGGGGUGCUCGAGUGGCGAACGGGUGAGUAACACGUGAGUAACAUGCCCUUGACUUUGGGAUAACUUCAGGAAACUGGGGCUAAUACCGGAUAGGAGCUCCUGCUGCAUGGUGGGGGUUGGAAAGUUUCGGCGGUUGGGGAUGGACUCGCGGCUUAUCCGCUUGUUGGUGGGGUAGUGGCUUACCAAGGCUUUGACGGGUAGGCGGCCUGAGAGGGUGAGCGGCCACAUUGGGACUGAGGUACGGCCCAGACUCCUACGGGAGGCAGCUGUGGGAAAUCUUGCACGAUGGGCGGAAGCCUGAUGCAGCAACUCCGCGUGCGGGAUGACGGCCUUCGGGUUGUAAACCGCUUUCGCCUGUGACGAAGCGUGAGUGACGGUAAUGGGUAAAGAAGCACCGGCUAACUACGUG